rnacentral:tRNA from 1 species
GGCCGCGUGGCGUAAUGGUAGCGUGUGGUCCUCCUAAUCAGAGGUUCAGACUGAGGUUGUGGGUUCGAGUCCCAUCGUGGUCG